AAUAGAUACCCCGGUAGUCCACGCCGUAAACGAUGAGUGCUAAGUGUUAGGGGGUUUCCGCCCCUUAGUGCUGCAGCUAACGCAUUAAGCACUCCGCCUGGGGAGUACGGUCGCAAGACUGAAACUCAAAGGAAUUGACGGGGGCCCGCACAAGCGGUGGAGCAUGUGGUCUAAUUCGAAGCAACGCGAAGAACCUUACCAGGUCUUGACAUCCCAUUGACCACUAUGGAGACAUAGUUUUCCCUUCGGGGACAACGGUGACAGGUGGUGCAUGGUUGUCGUCAGCUCGUGUCGUGAGAUGUUGGGUUAAGUCCCGCAACGAGCGCAACCCUUGUUCUUAGUUGCCAUCAUUUAGUUGGGCACUCUAAGGAGACUGCCGGUGACAAACCGGAGGAAGGUGGGGAUGACGUCAAAUCAUCAUGCCCCUUAUGACCUGGGCUACACACGUGCUACAAUGGACGGUACAAACGGUUGCCAACCCGCGAGGGGGAGCUAAUCCGAUAAAACCGUUCUCAGUUCGGAUUGUAGGCUGCAACUCG
rnacentral:rRNA from 1 species